ACCGAAAAAACUUAAAACGUUUGUCUUGUUCACCUUCUCCACUACACACUAAAAUCCAAAAAGAAAAAAAAUCUCCAUUUAUUUUUCUCCAUUUCAAAACCCAAAUCUAGAAAAACCCUAACCUCUUCGAGUCUCUCUUUCUCCCUACCUUCGUCCAUGUCUCUUCUGCUACCUCUCACACCUACAACUAGCAUGCUCUUUCUCUCUUUUGUUUCCUAUGACAAGGAGGCCUACAACCAAGGAGUGGAAGAUGGGAAAGGAAUUUUGGAUCACGAUGAAAAUGAAUCAUGGGUAGAUCAAUGUCACUUCUUUCUUUGUUUCUCUGUCUAUAGGUUUGUCUGCAACUCAGACCACAACUUGUUCAAUUUCUCCUAUUCUUCACACUAAUCGGGUACUUUCUUUGCCAAAACCCUACUUUAUUUUGCAAUUUAUGCUUAAAUUUAAAGCAUCUACGGAAUAAUGCUCAUUGAGUUUUGUAAAUUGAGAGUUGAGAAUCGUAUAAGGAAUCCUGGUGUUCAUAAUUUGAUACCCAAACGCCUGUUGGUCAAGUUAUUACAUCAUGUUUUAGUAUUACUAGAAACAACAUAUCAAAAUUUUGAAAUUUGGUUUUAAAUAUGUUGGAACGAUGUGUCUUUUUGUUCUAUUGCUUCGGUAUGAGGUAAUGAGGUUUGCACUCUUUAUGAGUCUGUUUGUGUGUUAAACUAUGUAGAGUUUCAAUGAUAAGGACAACCUAAUUGAAUUUAAUUGAAUUGUGUCUUGAUGAGUUUUACAUUUAGGACCAGGUUCUCUCUAGUCUCAAAAAUAGGGUUCAAUCUGAACUUGCAGGACAUAUUAUGGAAAGUACUUAUCCUGCUCUGUGACUUGUGUCUAGUGCGCUACCUGUGUAUGAUUUGGAAAUUAACAUUCUCAUGUAGCCUCCUUUCUCCAAUAAGGAUUUGACCUAUUCUUAAUGUUCUAAUAAGGUAAUUGACAAUAUUAUUAGUAGAAGUUGAUGGGAUAGUACUUGUUUCUUAUGUUGAAAUGGUCACAUGAUGAGGGCACUUGUAUUUUGAAAAGAAAUAUGAUGCCAGUUAAACUAUAUUCUUGCAUAUCAAAGGCUUCAGAUGCCUGAUUGAACAAAUCUUCAUCUUUAUUGUUGUUUUAUGUUUUUAGAUACAAUUUAAUAUUACUGAUGUGUAUCAAAAUAUCUAAACUCUCUUGUAUUCCUCUCUGUCUUUUUGCUCAUGUUUAACUAUCCUUGCAAUCUUUAAGGGUUUUGUUGAGUUGAAUUCAAUUAGAUAGCAUAGGACGAUAGGAGAAAGUAUUUUUCGGAACUUGGUCAAAAGAGGAAUGUGCAUCUUUUAUUUUAUUGGUUAUUCCUACAUUCAAAGAACAAUUCAUGUUGCAUCUAACAAAGGAAUUUAAGUCAUUUACCUUUAAAAAAUCAAUCCUUAUUGGUCUUGGGAAAAAAAAAAUCAGUACAAAGUCUUUUAAACUGCACUACUAAAACAUUUAGAACCAAUAUUUCAAGAUGUUGUCAAGAAAUUUAUCAAGGACUCUAAUUUUCCUUUACAUCUUAGGAGCCAAAAUUAAUUUCUUUAUUUUCUCAAAGUAUUUUAUGGGAGUAGAAUUGGGUACAUUCCUUUUUCUUUUUUUUUCUUUUUUUUCACUCUAUUCUUAGUAUGAUUUCCAAGGCAUUCUAAUUGUUUAGAUGGAACUAUAGGCCUACAUUAGGCAAAAAUGAUGUGCAAUCCCUAUCUCAACAACUAGGCUUGGAGAUCGUUGAUGAAAUUCUUUUAACUAAAUUUUUUUUUAUAAUAAUUCUGGAUUGGCUUUUGCCCGAAGUCCAGGUGAGUUUCAUGGCAUGAAAACUAGAAGGUUCUAUCCUCGUAGUUAAAGUUUCCUUUUUUUUUUUUUUAUGUUCUUUUAUUUUGCUCUUUCUUUUUCCUCCUAUGCUAAUAGUCAAGUGGUUUUUUCUUAAAUAGUUCAAAAGAGUUGUUAAAGAAUCUCUCUACGAUGCUCAAGUUUGCACUAAACAACAACUUUGUGGUUCACAACCAUGUUUUUAUGGUCCAUAGCUAUCAGUAGAAGAAAAUUUUCCAUGUAGAGAACUUCAUGAUUGGAUAUUGGAUGGUGCUUGACCAAGAAAACUUGAAGCUGGGAUGGUCUCAUUUAAAUUGUGAGUUCUAUGGCCUUUCCCAAGUCUAUGUUUAGGGAUACAUCCUAAUCUUACUAACUAUAAUGUGGCCUAUAAGUAAUAACCUCUAAUAAUUCAUAAUUUUCUUGGAAUUAUAUUUUUUUUAGUACUAAAUAACACUCUUUAUAUGCAACUAUAAUUUUGUGCAUUAAAUAUAUGUUCCUUUAAAUCAACUUUAACUCUUUGCCCCAUAAAAGUGCGUUUUCAUCCCUUAAAUCAACUUUAACUCUUUGCCCCUUAAAAACUCUCAUGACAUCUUAGGACACCUUAAUUGCAAAGGAAGAAACCAAGGCACCUCAAAUAGAGGGGAAACUAAACUUCAUAAAUCAAAAGACCAAUGAUAUUAGAUUUUUUGGUUAUCAUUCAAUUCUUCUUUUCUUUUCACAAGCAACAAUAAUUGGGUAAGGUUCACACAUGUUUUAUAAGAUGCUCUAAUAUAUGUUGAAGAUAAUAAAAAAAUGGAUAUAAAAACUUUCUUAUUAAUCUUAAGGAUUACAUGAAUAUUAUACACACUUAAUUAAAACAAAAACAAAAAAUAAUUUUUCAAAGUUACGUAUUGCUAAAUCUUACUAAUGCUACCUAAUCCAUGUUUUCCUAAACAAAUUCUGUUAUGGUUGAGCAAGGUGCUACCUUGGAUUGAUAAACUAAUUACCUAAGGUUCACAAACGAACUACCUAAGCUCCAUUAAGGUAAUACCUAAGGUUCACAAAGGUCGUACCUAAGGUGCAUUAAGGUAGUACUUAAGGUUCACUAAGAUAGUACCUUAGGUACAUUAAGGUAGUACCUAAGGGUUCUAUCGACUAACCAAUUACAAUAUAAUAAUGUCAUUAUUGCCAAUUUGUUCAGAAUUAUGGAAAGAUAAGUUAGCUACAAACUAUAAUGCUUAAGUGAGAUAAUUUUAACUAGACUCUUAAAGCAAAACAAGCCUUUCACUUGCUCAAACACACUAAAAGAAUGACACUAGUUCUUGCAAUGCCUAAUUUUGAUAAGAUUUUUGUGGUGAUAUGUGAUGUUUUUGUUAUUGGAUUAGGUCCAGUACACAUAUAAGAAGGAAGACUCAUUGCCUUUGUAAGUAAAACCUUAGGUACUACCAUAGUGAACCUUAGGUACUAUCUUAAUCAACCUUAUGUACUACCUUAAUCGACCUUAGGUAUUACCAUAGUUAAACUUGGGUAUUACUUGUGUGAAGCUUCGAAACUUCAUUUGUGAACAUUUGUGAGACUUAAUUACUUCAUUUGUGAGCCUAAGGGUCACUAAUGUAGUACCUAAGGGUUACUAAGGUAGUACCCAAGGUUCACUAAGGUAGUAUCCAAGGUUCACUAUGGUAGUACCCAAGGUUCACUAUGGUAGUACCCAAGGUUCACUAUGGUAGUACCCAAGGUAGAUUUGAGCAUGACAUUCAUUUUCUAUUGGUUUUUCCCUUUCGAACCUCAAGUAUUAGAUGUUUCAACCUUAGAUACUACCCUAGUGGAUCUUGGGUACUACCUUAGUGAGCCUUGGGUACUACCAUAAUGAGUCUUAAUUACUUCCUUAGUGGACUUUAGGUACUACCUUUAUGAACCUCAAGUACUACCUUUGUGAAUUUAUGUACUAUCUUUUCCUUAUGUGGUUCAACCUUUAAGUUGCUUGGAAAUGAAAUAUAAGGUUGUUUCUCUUUGAAAGGAAAUGGGAAAAAAGGAUAUGUUUUGUCAAUAUUUUGUAGGUUGUUCAUUCCAAACAAUUUAAUAGUGCAACACCAACUCAAGGAUUCCAUAGUGUGUUUUUUAUCACUCAUAAAUGUAAAGGUACCACAAUUCACCUAUAUAUUAUCCAUAUUAUUUAUUUAUAAAGUUUUUUUUGUCGUUAUUAGACUUUAUCGUUUGGUUGGCUUCUAGUUAAAGGGAUGAAGGUUUAUUUGUUUUAUCCCUUUUUUUCUUGGUUGUUUAGUGGUUGUCUUACACUACUUGUAUCCUUUGGUUGGGCCCUUUUUGUUUUUCUCUUUUAAUAAAGUGUUUGUUUAUCAAAAAAUAUUUCAGCAUACCAUGUUUUUGGAUUAAACUGAAAAUUUUUAUGACAAAGUGAAGGACUUAAGAAUUUGUGCAUCACAUUCUUUCCCAUAUAUUUUUUUUCUUGGAUAAAUACUCUAUGAAGCAUUUUGUAUGGUCUAUCUCAACUCUCUUUGUCACUGACUUAUGACAAUUUUGCUAUGGGAUGAAUUUAUAUGUUCUUUUUCUCAACUCUCUAAAUUUAUAUGUGGUUGUGGUGCAGAUAUAGAAUGUAAAUUUUGCUAUCUAAGGCCUAAAAAAAAAUCAUAGAAAGCUUUUGUGGUUGCUAAUUUACUCUUGCAAGAGGCACAAGAUAGGGAAAGUAUCACUUCCAUUAGUCAUUUAGGUUUCAAUGGUAGUAUAGAUUGAGUCAACCCUCUAUAUAUAAUGUGCACUUGGAAUCAAGAAGAAAAAAAAAAAGCCAAUUGGACCUGCACUUGGAAUCCAUCAAAGGAACUGUCAUCUCUCUCUAUACAUGUGUAUAAAAAGUGAAAUUGAUUUUUGAAUUCUAUAAUAUAUUAUUUCAAUGUCCAACUUGGGCAUGGCAUGUUCCUUAAUUUUCAUAUGGGUGAUAAGGACUUUCUGUAUUGCUACCAUUUAUUUGAAUUUUUAGUGAAAUAGAAAAUCAAGUUCUUAGAGAA